AUACGGAGGGUGCAAGCGUUAUUCGGAAUUACUGGGCGUAAAGCGCGCGUAGGCGGUUUGCUCAGUCGGAUGUGAAAGCCCAGGGCUCAACCUUGGAACUGCAUACGAUACUGGCAAACUAGAGUGUGAGAGAGGAUAGUGGAAUUUCCGGUGUAGCGGUGAAAUGCGUAGAUAUCGGAAGGAACAUCAGUGGCGAAGGCGACUGUCUGGCUCAACACUGACGCUGAGGUGCGAAAGCGUGGGUAGCAAACAGGAUUAGAAACCCCAGUAGUCC
rnacentral:rRNA from 1 species